rnacentral:rRNA from 1 species
GACGAACGCUGGCGGCGUGCUUAACACAUGCAAGUCGAACGGAGCGGCGAACGGGUGAGUAACGCGUGAGUAACUGCCCCCCUCUCUGGGAUAACAGUUGGAAACGGCUGCUAAUACCGGAUAGUGGGGGAUGACUCGCGUCCGAUCAGCUUGUUGGUGGGGUCGUUGCCUACCAAGGGGACGACGGUUCGCCGGCCUGGGAGGGCGACCGGCCACAUUGGGCUGAGAUACGGCCCAAACUGCUACGGGAGGCAGCGGUGGGAAAUAGUGCACAAUGUGGGAAACCCUGAGGCAGCGACGCCGCGGGCGGAAUGACGGCCUUCGGGUUGUAAACCGCUUUCAGCCAUGACGCGGUAGUGGCAGAAGAAGCACCGGCUAACUACGUGCCAGCAGCCGCGGUAAUAC